CCAUCUGUCAUCGUGAAUGGGGCCGUGCCGACGCGUCAGACGGGACGAACGGGGGAAGUCGGUCCAGAGUCACUGCGCCGCGCGGUUGUGUGAGCAUUAGCAAGCCGUGGGCUAGGUACCGCUCCAGGUCAGACCAUGGUUGGCACUGAAGAGUGCGGCGACACUACAGAGCUGUGAACGAAGACGGUGAACGGCGAGAUGUGGUGACCGCUUGACGGACCUGUGCCCAAAGUCGUGAUCUACCGCUGGGGUCAGUGCGUGAGAAGCUGGACUCGGCACCAACGGAGGACGCAGCUCGACGAGGAAGCUAUGCUGUGUUGAGGGACGUCUGCCGGUUACGACCGGAAGGUUUCCGACGGGACUUGGCAGAACCCACAACAGCAGUAUGGACCCGGCGUGGAGUUAAUGCGUAAUUGCUCGCAUGAGCAACCGAAGAGCGACUUCCAGCCGAAGCUGUCGCAGAAUUCCUGGAGAUGCGCUGGGACAUGGAUCAUAGCAAGGUGGCUCCCAGCGGCAGCUGACCGCUGAGAUGUGUCUGAAACAGCCAGAAGGAAGACUCGAGUUGUGGAUCCAGGGCAGUAUGAACGGAAGGCGGGACCAGCUGUAGGGAGACUACAGCAAAGCCGUCGUUCUAAAGCUGCUGAACAGACUCCUACUGCAGAGGAAAAACUGGGGUUCGACGUGUUAGAUUUGGGGUUAGACCGGUUACCAGUGCUCGUGUUCGUCAACAGUUGUUUGUCACUGCUGUGCUGCUGCUGUAUGUCAUGUUUGCCACCUGCUAAGCGUUCACAAUGUAUUUUGAGUGAACAAUAACUUUUUUUAGUGUUUGUCUUGAUUUGUAACGAGUAAAUCAAGUAUGUUAACCUUUCAUCAAAUGAAGGACUCCACAUAAAAAUAGUAUAGGCUGUGGUGGUACAGACACAUACCAUGCUUGGCCGACUGUUGUGUAUUGAUCUAGUCGUUGAAGCGUCCUGAAAGUCUGGAAAUAAACAGGCAUGGCCAAAUGGAUUGGU